rnacentral:lncRNA from 1 species
AUUCCAUGCACAAAACACAUGUAUAAUUCCAUAUGAGGUAUUCCGAAUAUUAAUGAUAAUAAGUAUUUGAAUAUAGUUGCAGGACGCAUAAUCCCAACAUCUCCCACUUGUCCAAAACGAUCAUUCAAAAAAUUCGUAAACCCAUAGCUUGAACAUGUUUACCAAAUACCACCUGACUAAGUGACUUAGUCAAGGGAUCAGCAACCAUAUCAGUACUAGGUAGAAACUCUAAAGAAACAGACUUAAGUAUAUUAAUUACACCACGUAUAUAGUGAUACCUUCCCUCAAUAUGUUUGAUCUUGCUGUGGAACUUGGGAUAUCUGGAAACCUUUAUUGCAGCCUCAUUAUCACAAUACACCACCACUGGUUUGCUAGCACUUUCAACAAUCUUCAAAGUCGAAAGAAAUUCCUUCAGCCACUUCCUUCAGCCACACCGCCUCCUUCACAGCUUCUGACGCAGCAAUAUACUCCGCCUCCAUGGAAGAUAAUGCCACUGAAUCUUGCUUCUUACUACUCCAAGAUAUAGCGCCACCAGCUAAUGUAAAUAGAUACCCACACGUAGACUUCCGGUCAUCCAGAUCACCCUGCCAAUCAGCAUCAGUAUAGCCCUGCAACUGUAGAUCCGUUUGGUUAAAACAGAGUGAAUAAUCUAGUGUUCCUUGAACAUAACGAAGAGCAUGCUUAAUUUGAUUCCAAUGCCCAAUUCCUGGAUUCAUUUGAUAUCUACUCAACACUCCAACAGUAUAGCACAAAUCAGGGCGUGUGAAUAAAAUGGCAUACAUCAAAGAUCCCAAGGCAGAAGCAUAUGGAGUCUUCUCCAUUCUCUUCUUUUCCUCGGGAGUUUUAGGACACAUCCCCUCACUGAGUUUAAUUCCUACAGCCAUGGGCACUAAAGCAGGCUUGCAGUUUUCCAUAGAGAAACGUUUAAGAACAGAUUUUAAAUAAUUCCUUUCAGACAAACCCAAAGUACCUUUAUUCCGAUCUCUAAGUAUUUCCACUCCUAGAACAUAGGAAGCGUUUCCCAUAUCUUUCAUUUCAAAUGUAGAAGAUAACCAAGUUUUAACUUCUACCAACAUUUCCUUACUACUAGAAGCAAUAAGUAUAUCAUCAACAUAAAGUGACAAGAGUGUAAAAUUUCCUCCCACUAUUUUAAAAUAAAUGCAAUGAUCUCCUUCCAUCAUAGAAAACCCAUAUGAUGUGAUAGCAUCAUCAAACAAAAUAUUCCAUUGUCGUGAAGUUUGCCUAAGACCAUAAAUAGAUCUAUUUAGCUUACACACUUUUCCCUGAUUUUCCUUUUCAACAAAACCAUCAGGUUGAGACAUAUAAAUCUCUUCCUUCAAAUGACCAUUCAAGAAGGCAGUUUUAACAUCCAUUUGAUGAAGUUCCAGAUCAAAAUAAGCAGUCAACGCAGCAAUAAUACGAAUAGAAGUAAAUUUUGCUACAGGGGAAAAAAUUUCAACAAAGUCAACGCCUUCCUUUUGUGUGUACCCUUUAGCAACCAACCUAGCUUUGUAUUUUUCAACAUUACCAGAAGCAUUCAGUUUCCUUUUAAAAAUCCACUUUGAUCCAAUUGCCUUUCGGUCAUUAGGAAGAUCAACCAAUUCAAUUCCCAAACUUUAUUUUUUUUUUCAUGGAGUAUAGUUCCUCACGCAUGGCUUCCAUCCAUAACUUUGAUUCUGAACAAGACAUGGCAUGUUUAAAAGAUUUUGGUUCUUCCUCCAAACUAGAAGUUUUAGAGUAUACUUCCCCCAUAAAUACAUAAUAAUCAUCAAGGUAUUAUGGGGCUGCUACAUUCCUCCCACUUCUCCUAGGUAAACUAGUUAUGGGAGUCUCAACAUUUACGUUGCCAUCCAUUUGGUUUUCCUGAUUGUUAGAAUCAGUUUCAACAUUAGUAUCUAACGGGCUUGUCAAUAAUUCCACUCUCGCACGUUUUGCACGGCGAGGUGUAUCUUGAUCUAGAAAAAUUGCAUCUCUACUUUCAAUUAACUUCUUCUUCUCUGGAUCAUAAAAUCUAUGUCCAUUUGAACCAGAAGCAUAUCCAAUAAAUAUUCCUGGAAAACUCUUAGGUUCCAGUUUUGUUCUUAGUUGACUAGGUACUCUAAUCUGUGCAUUGCAUCCCCACACUGCUAAGUUCAACAAUGUAGGUUUCCUCCCUUUCCAUAAUUCAUAAGGAGUAGAACUAACAGAUUUAGAAGGUGAAUGAUUAAGCAAGUAAACAGCAGUAUGAAGAGCCUCUCCCCAAAAUGAUAAAGGAAGAUCUGAAUAUGCCAUCAUAGACCUAACCAUGUCCAUUAAAGUUCUAUUCCUCCUUUCAGCUACGCCAUUUUGCUGAGGAGUAUAUGGUAAGGUAUAAUGGUGAAUAAUUCCAUUUUCCUUGCAAAAACCAUCUAAUAUUCCUGAUGUGUAUUCACCACCAUGAUCAGUUCUAAGCACCUUGAUCUUUUUGUUCAACUGAUUUUCUACCUCGGCUUUAAAUAACUUGAACAUGUCAAAACCUUCCGACUUAUGCUUAAUUAAGUAAACAUAGCCGUAUCUAGAGAAAUCAUCUAUAAAAGUAAUGAAAUAGACCUUCUGCCCAAAUGUAGGUAUAGGCAUCUCACCACAAAUAUCUGAAUGAACAAUAGCAAGUGGUUCAGUAGACCUUGAAGCUUUAGGAAAAGGCGCCCUGGUCAUUUUUCCUACAACACAUGCCUCACAAAUGGCGUAGUCUUCCCACUUGAAGUUUAAAAAUCCAGAACUAAUUAGCCUUUUAAUUAUGUUCUUUGAGAUAUGACCCAAACGAAGAUGCCAGAGAUAUGAUUCUGAACAAUUAUUGCUUCCAUCUAUAUUCCUCACUAUCGAGUUCUGUUCAGUCACCAUACAAUCCAUCCUAUCGAUGUCCAUAAAAUCCUCAAUAUAGUAGAGACCAUAAAAUCUAUUUCCUGAUUGAACUAAAUUUCCAUUCAUCAGUAUUUUAACUUUGCCAUCUCCAAAUAAGACCUUAAAACCUAUAGAUUCCAGUCUAGAAACAGAGAUUAAAUUCUUUCUCAUGCUAGGGGAAUAGACUGUGUCUUUCAAAAUUAAUUUUCCUCCAUCGGGGAGUUUGAGUGUAUAAUCACCUAUGCCCAAGAUAUCAUCUUUUGCAGUUGUUCCUAGAUAAAUAAAUCUAGUUCCUUUCAGUAUGGGUUUUAAAGAGGUGAAACCAGCACUAUUCCUUGCAAUAUGCGAAGUGGAACCAGAGUGUACUACCCAAUGAUCUGAAGCUGAAGUAGUAAACAAUGAUUCAGAACAAACAAAUAGAUUGUACGUACCAUCAGGAGAAGAGUUAUCCUUCUUGUUGCCCUGAUGCUUGUCCUGAUGCUGCUUCUUAGACUUUUCAUCUUGUUUAUAAGGCUUCUUAUUCUUGCACUCAGUUCUAAAAUGCCCAUACUCUCCACAACCAUGACAUCUAAAUUUCCUCUUAUCAAAACUAGAGUUUGGACCUCUUCCAUUAUGAUCUUCCCAGUUUCUCUUCCUGUUGAUUUUGUCCCUCAAAUCACCUCCUUGAUUCUUCUUCUGCCAACGCCUCCUAUCUUCACCAAGGUGUAACUCCUGAUGAUGUGAGUGUGUCUCUUUACCUUGUGAAGUUUUCCUAUCUUCUUCCAUGAGCAAAUGAUGCCUCAAAUUGCGCAUGUUCAGUAAUCUUUCAGAGUGGCAGAAUGAUAUUUUAAAUUGUUCCCAAGUGUGCGGAAGUGAGUUCACAGCCACCAUUACUUGCACCUCCUCAGAAAAGGGAUAGCCAUCAUUUUUCAAUUCCUCAUUCAGCACGCACAACUUGUUUAAGUGCUCAUUGACAGAAGUAGUAUCUGUCAUCUUAGACGUCAAGAAUCUGUUCAGCAAACUAAGCACUUUGAUUAAAGAAACUUCACCAAAAUCCUCUUCCAGCCUUCUCAUAAUUCUGUGUGCAGCAACCUCUGUUUCAUAUUCACCUGCCAACGAAUCAGACAUGGAGCCAAGAAUAAAAAUCCUAGCCUUUUUAUUGUCCUUAUUCCACUCCUUGAGUUCUUCUGCAUAAUUAUCCUUUUCCUCAUCUGAAGCAUCAUCAGCAGGUUUGUUAGGCUCGGCUGUAGAAAUUACAUACUCAAUAUUCUCAGCUGUAAGGAGAAACAUCAUCUUCCUUUUCCAAACAGUGUAAUUUGUGCCAUCUAAUUUGUAAUUCCUGAGCAACUCAGCAAACACGCUAUUGGAAGCCAUCUAUCCACAAAUUUCAAAACAGAAAAAAUUCCUUUGGUGGUGUUGAACCGGAGCAGCAGUAACAGAUGAGAGGCCUGACAAAUUCCGAGCAGUCGUUCGUGGAUAGCUCGUGUACCUGAGGACUCGUCGAGGUGGAUGGCUUGGAGCGGUGACGGGCGGCUGGACGAGAGCUUCCGGCGGAGUGUGGAUGGAGAUCGGGCCGCCGGCGGAGUCGCUGUCGGCGAGGCGAGAGUGCGGCGCGGCGAGGCGAGAGUGCGGCAUGGCGAGGCGACAAUGCGGCGCGGCGCGGCGAGGCGACAGUGCGGCACGGCAGGACGACAGUGCGGCCGCGCGAGACGGGAACGGCGAGGCGAGACGAGAAAAUCGAUCUGGAGCGAUUCCUUUGCGGCGGAGCGCACACGAGAUCAAUCUAAUCCAAGUUGGACUUGUGAGCGACUAGUUGACCACAAGCAGAGUACGCAGUGGAAUUGUUUUCCGAUCGAAUCGAGUCAUACGACUAUUGUCGUUAACCCUAAUCCGCUCUGAUACCAAUGUUAGAAAUAUGUUGUGGUUUAUCCCCUAUUUUUCCGUGCUUUUCCGUAAUGCCGCUCACAAUCGCAUAUCCGAUGCUAGGGGAUAGGGACCUUCUUAUACUGUGUUUUUAAAGAGUCCACCUCUUAUACAGUUAUAAGAUUCCUAGUCUUUAAACUAGUUUUCGGAUAGAGUCCAAAUCAAACUACCAACCACGAUAUAAUUUGUCUAUUAGUGGAUCCUAUCCAUCGAGUCCCUGAAGCACGCGUCUGUGAGCAACGCGUCAUAAUAGAGUAUAAAUUCCUCUAAUUAUGUAGAUCAACAUUAGGGCCGUAAUCUAAUUACACGAUCUAGCUUCUUCCAAUUAUCAGCGUACCCGGGUAGUCUUUCCAAUAUAUAAAGCAUAUUGUAUUCCACCGAUAAUUGACCGGUUUCCUUAAGCAUGCAACAGUUAAAUACAUUCCAGCAAGAGCAAUUCCAUGCACAAAACAUAUGUAUAAUUCCAUAUGAGGUAUUCCGAAUAUUAAUGAUAAUAAGUAUUUGAAUAUAGUUGCAGGACACAUAAUCCCAACAAGUUUUAGGAGAACUAUAAUCCUCACGGCAAAUGUCGCAGCGCGCGUGAUCAAGCUAGUAUUAGGAGAAUUUUAGCCCUCACAACAAUAAGCUCACACAUAUACACUAUAUUCUUCACUGCGUUGAUUUUGUAAGCUA